GACGAACGCUGGCGGCGUGCCUAAUACAUGCAAGUCGAGCGGAGUUAUUUUGAAAGCUUGCUUUCAAAAUAACUUAGCGGCGGACGGGUGAGUAACACGUAGGCAACCUGCCCUUCAGACUGGGAUAACUACCGGAAACGGUAGCUAAUACCGGAUAAUUUCUUUUUUCUCCUGAGAGAAGAAUGAAAGACGGAGCAAUCUGUCACUGAGGGAUGGGCCUGCGGCGCAUUAGCUAGUUGGUGGGGUAACGGCCCACCAAGGCGACGAUGCGUAGCCGACCUGAGAGGGUGAACGGCCACACUGGGACUGAGACACGGCCCAG
rnacentral:rRNA from 1 species